rnacentral:rRNA from 1 species
UACGUAGGGACCAAGCGUUGUUCGGAUUUACUGGGCGUAAAGGGCGCGUAGGCGGCGCGACAAGUCACUUGUGAAAUCUCUGGGCUUAACUCAGAACGGCCAAGUGAAACUGUUGUGCUAGAGUGCAGAAGGGGCAAUCGGAAUUCUCGGUGUAGCGGUGAAAUGCGUAGAUAUCGAGAGGAACACCAGAGGUGAAGACGGGUUGCUGGGCUGACACUGACGCUGAGACACGAAAGCGUGGGUAGCAAACAGG